UUAGCUUCGGUUAAUCUUAGUGGCGGACGGGUGAGUAACACGUGAGAAUUCGCCUUUAGGAGGGGGAUAACGAAUGGAAACAUUCGCUAAAACCCCAUAUGCCCACGGGUGAAAAAGAGGGUAACCUCUGCCUGAAGAGAAGCUCGCGGCUGAUUAGCUAGUUGGUAGGGUAAUGGCCUACCAAGGCGACGAUCAGUAGCUGGUCUGAGAGGACGAUCAGCCGCACUGGAACUGAGACACGGUCCAGACUCCUACGGGAGGCAGCAGUGAGGAAUUUUCUGCAAUGGGCGAAAGCCUGACAGAGCAAUACCGCGUGAGGGAUGAAGACUUACUGAGUUGUAAACCUCGGUGCCUUAAGGAAGAAGAUCUGACGGUACUUAAGGUGGAAAGCAUCGGCUAACCCCGUGCCAGCAGCCGCGGUAAGACGGGGGAUGCAAGUGUUAUCCGGAAUUACUGGGCGUAAAGCGUCUGCAGGUGGUUUCUCCAGUCUACUGUUAAACCUUGAGGCUCAACCUCAAAUCAGCAGUGGAAACUAGGAAACUUGAGUAUAGUAGGGGUAGAGGGAAUUUCCAGUGGAGCGGUGAAAUGCGUAGAUAUUGGAAAGAACACCGAUGGCGAAGGCACUCUACUGGGCUAUUACUGACACUCAGAGACGAAAGCUAGGGGAGCAAAUGGGAUUAGAUACCCCAGUAGUCCUAGCCGUAAACGAUGGAUACUCGAUGUUGGACGUAUCGACCCGUUCAGUAUCUUAGCUAACGCGUUAAGUAUCCCGCCUGGGAAGUACGCUCGCAAGAGUGAAACUCAAAGGAAUUGACGGGGGCCCGCACAAGCGGUGGAGGAUGUGGUUUAAUUCGAUGCAACGCGAA
rnacentral:rRNA from 1 species